GUGAAGUAAUAUAUAGACGAGUUUCGGUAUGUGAUAGGUUAAGUGAGAAACGUGAGAAAUAUCCCUGGCAUUUAACUGUCGGAAACGUUUAUGAGUUUACUCAUCACAUAAAUAUAAGACUCGAGAUUCAGGACGUGGUAAUUUAUACUCAGUUUCGACAAGUUUGAACGCGUUUUCUCCCUUCCGUUCAGGAUUUGUGACUACCCUAAGAAAUGUUUAUACUUUACACCAGUUUCGUACCUAAUGACCUAAUACAAAGUUUCCGAAUAAAAACCAUCAUAAAAUUAAUUACUUCCGGAAAUACUUAUUGUAACCGGCUGAAAUUUUCUCGCGAUUUUUAAAAUUGCGGUACCUUAUAUACGCUUCUGCAGUGUUGAUGUUAUUAGUUCUGCAUUGGUUGAAUAGAUGUCAGGGUGAGUGUUGUGACGCAACCGAUUCGUCGAUGUUUGUGGUUUGUGGAAAGAUCACUAGAGGGUACGACUGUCCCAAAAGAUGGUUGAGUUAAAGACAACAUGGACUAGAGAUGGCAGAAAUGUGCCGAGUGAAAAGUAAUGUGUUCUUUCACUAAUAAAUAUAAAACACACAUUGAGCGAGUGGUGUGUUGAAAAUUUGUGUUCAAAAUUGUGUAUAAUGUUUGCGAUUCUGCGGUGUACAUGCACGACGUCGACUGGAACUUCACGAUCUUCUGACAUGGAGCUGGUGAUACAAACGAACUGCAGAUGCUGUUUUCUUGGUUUCGGUUACUGCUGGUACUGCCUCCUGCCGGCUACAAAGCGAAUGAUGAACGACCCAUUGCAUCCUUCUACGACAUCUCCUUGUGAUUAUUUAAUAAUUACUACGGCUAUCUGCCUGCAAAGCAAGAAGGGAAUAAGUAUUCUCAGAGAAACGUCCAUUCUGCUAGUUCACACGCAAGAAACAUUUUUAUAAUUGACGGACUGAUUACCAUAACAAAUCGAUAUCUAA